rnacentral:rRNA from 1 species
CACCGGAGCUUGCUCCACCGAAAGAAAAAGAGUGGCGAACGGGUGAGUAACACGUGGGUAACCUGCCCAUCAGAAGGGGAUAACACUUGGAAACAGGUGCUAAUACCGUAUAACACUAUUUUCCGCAUGGAAGAAAGUUGAAAGGCGCUUUUGCGUCACUGAUGGAUGGACCCGCGGUGCAUUAGCUAGUUGGUGAGGUAACGGCUCACCAAGGCAACGAUGCAUAGCCGACCUGAGAGGGUGAUCGGCCACACUGGGACUGAGACACGGCCCAGACUCCUACGGGAGGCAGCAGUAGGGAAUCUUCGGCAAUGGACGAAAGUCUGACCGAGCAACGCCGCGUGAGUGAAGAAGGUUUUCGGAUCGUAAAACUCUGUUGUUAGAGAAGAACAAGGAUGAGAGUAAAAUGUUCAUCCCUUGACGGUAUCUAACCAGAAAGCCACGGCUAACUACGUGCCAGCAGCCGCGGUAAUACGUAGGUGGCAAGCGUUGUCCGGAUUUAUUGGGCGUAAAGCGAGCGCAGGCGGUUUCUUAAGUCUGAUGUGAAAGCCCCCGGCUCAACCGGGGAGGGUCAUUGGAAACUGGGAGACUUGAGUGCAGAAGAGGAGAGUGGAAUUCCAUGUGUAGCGGUGAAAUGCGUAGAUAUAUGGAGGAACACCAGUGGCGAAGGCGGCUC